rnacentral:rRNA from 1 species
ACGGCUCAGUAACACGUGGAUAACCUACCCUCAGAUCUGGGAUAACUCCGGGAAACUGGAGAUAAUACCGGAUAAUCCGUGAACGCUGGAAUGCCUUACGGUUGAAAGCUUUAGCGUCUGAGGAUGGGUCUGCGGCCGAUUAGGUAGUUGCUGGGGUAACGUCCCAACAAGCCGAUAAUCGGUACGGGUUGUGAGAGCAAGAGCCCGGAGAUGGAUUCUGAGACACGAAUCCAGGUCCUACGGGGCGCAGCAGGCGCGAAAACUUUACACUGCGCGAAAGCGCGAUAAGGGGACCUCGAGUGCGUGCGCAAAGCGUACGCUUUUCAGAUGCCUAAAAAGCAUCUGGAAUAAGGGCCGGGCAAGACCGGUGCCAGCCGCCGCGGUAACACCGGCGGCUCAAGUGGUGGCCGCUAUUAUUGGGCUUAAAGGGUCCGUAGCCGGACCAGUUAGUCCCUUGGGAAAUCUUACGGCUUAACCGUAAGGCUGCCAAUGGAUACUGCUGGUCUUGGGACCGGGAGAGGCAAGAGGUACCUCAGGGGUAGGAGUGAAAUCCUGUAAUCCUUGAGGGACCGCCAGUGGCGAAGGCGUCUUGCUAGAACGGGUCCGACGGUGAGGGACGAAAGCUAGGGGCACGAACCGGAUUAGAUACCCGGGUAGUCCUAGCCGUAAACGAUGCGAGCUAGGUGUCACGUGGAUUGCGAAUCCAUGUGGUGCCGAAGGGAAACCGUGAAGCUCGCCGCCUGGGAAGUACGGCCGCAAGGCUGAAACUUAAAGGAAUUGGCGGGGGAGCA